CAGGUCUUCUGACAGCAGGGGCCAACAGCCAGUGCAGGCUUGGAGCAUUCUCUGCACGCAUCCCUGUAUCAUCCCUGUAUCAUCUCAGUUCUCAUUAGGAAGAAUAUUCAGGAUUGGGUGCAGUUUCUAAAAGAUAUCUUAUGAACAGCUAACUCUAUCUCCACUCUUUCCAAAUCCCCUCCAAGUAUUCAUGCUCUUCUCUCUUGUACAUUGGUGGUUUUCUUUGUAUCAGGGAGAUCUUCCCACACUCAUGAAAUGCUUUUGUUCUCUUGACAGUAUUUGUUGACAUGGAUGGAUUGGAUACAGAAAACGAUCAUGCACAUCUGAAUGUCCUGGAACAAUAUGAGGUCUUUUUAUUCAGUGUAUCAGAGAAAAGAAGAUGCAGCAGAACAUUGCUAUUACUGGACUCCAGCUGUGAACCCUCUGAGAGACUGUGUGAGGAAUGAAUGCCCCUCAGCUAAAAUUCUGGGAUGGCAGCAUGAGGAAUUGUACUGUAAAGUAUAUUUAAGGACAGAAAUCUAGUACACAUAAUGCUUUUGAACUCUGUAAGUAAGUGAUAAUGAAAAACAUACAACCCUUCCAGGCAAAGAAAAUCUAUUUGUGAUCCUUAUUUACCACUCCAAAAUCAAAUGAAGGGAUAAAAUACACCUAUAUAAAAACACACUGACAAGCUAUAACUACAUAAAUCAUUUCAGCAUAAUUUUUGAAGAUUCUGCAUGAGACCAGGAAUUAUAAAUAAGCAUGUGUUUAAUAGUCAAUGAUAUUUUUUGAUGUUAUUUUGAAAUGUCAGAUACGCCCAAUAGAUGCAGAAUGGAAAAACAUGAUAACAUCUGGUGUUGGAAGCAAUCAUUUUCUUGAAUACCACAAUCAACAUGCCUGAACACUCAGCAUUUCUAACCUGUCUUCACUGUUGAAACACUGAAAUAAUUCACAAAUAUGUAAUGUAAUUAUGUAUUAGCAACAUCCAAGUAUGUUUGCAGUUGUAUUUCCGUCACUGACAUGUAUAGAAGCAUUCAUCAAAAUCUGGCCCCAUGCAAGGUUCUAUUCAAAGAAAAGAGAAAAAAAUGCUAUCAACCUAAGUAAGACAAUAUGUAAUAAAGGCAUGAAGAGAAUACUGUGGCCUUUCUCA
rnacentral:lncRNA from 1 species